GAUGAACGCUGGCGGCGUGCCUAAUACAUGCAAGUCGAGCGAACAGACGAGGAGCUUGCUCCUCUGACGUUAGCGGCGGACGUGUGAGUAACACGUGGAUAACCUACCUAUAAGACUGGGAUAACUUCGGGAAACCGGAGCUAAUACCGGAUAAUAUAUUGAACCGCAUGGUUCAAUAGUGAAAGACGGUUUUGCUGUCACUUAUAGAUGGAUCCGCGCGGCAUUAGCUAGUUGGUAAGGUAACGGCUUACCAAGGCAACGAUGCGUAGCCGACCUGAGAGGGUGAUAGGCCACCCUGGAACUGAGACACGGUCAAGACUCCUACGGGAGGCAGCAGUAGGGAAUCUUCCGCAAUGGGCGAAAGCUUGACGGAGCAACGCCGCGUGAGUGAUGAAGGUCUUCGGAUCGUAAAACUCUGUUAUUAGGGAAGAACAAAUGUGUAAGUAACUAUGCACGUCUUGACGGUACCUAAUCAGAAAGCCACGGCUAACUACGUG
rnacentral:rRNA from 1 species